CCUACGAGGGGCUGCAGUGAGGAAUAUUGGUCAAUGGGCGAGAGCCUGAACCAGCCAAGUCGCGUGAGGGAGUACUGCCUUAUGGGUUGUACACCUCUUUUGUCGGGGAGCAAAAGCCGGACGUGUCCGGCUGUGAGAGUACCCGAAAAAAAAGCAUCGGCUAACUCCGAGCCAGCAGCCGCGGUAAUUCGAAGGAUGUGGGCGUUAUCCGGAUUUAUUGGGUGUAAAGGGUGAGCUGGGGGAUUUUUAAGUCAGCGGUCAAAUCGUGGGGCUAAACCCCAUCCAGCCGUUGAAACUGGGGAUCUAGAGUGUGCGAGAGGUAUGCGGAAUGCGUGGUGUAGCGGUGAAAUGCAUAGAUAUCACGAAGAACACCGAUUGCGAAGGCAGCAUACCGGUGCACAACUGACGCUCAGGCACGAAAGCGUGGGUAUCGAACAGGAUUAGAUACCCUAGUAGUC
rnacentral:rRNA from 1 species